rnacentral:misc_RNA from 1 species
CCUCCGUAGGUGAACCUGCGGAAGGAUCAUUACUGAGUGAGGGCCCUCUGGGUCCAACCUCCCACCCGUGUUUAUUGUACCUUGUUGCUUCGGUGAGCCCGCCUCACGGCCGCCGGGGGGCAUCUGCCCCCGGGCCCGCGCUCGCCGAAGACACCCUCGAACUCUGUCUGAAGUUUGCAGUCUGAGCGAAAACUAAAUAAGUUAAAACUUUCAACAACGGAUCUCUUGGUUCCG